rnacentral:rRNA from 1 species
UGGGGAAUAUUGGACAAUGGGCGAAAGCCUGAUCCAGCCAUGCCGCGUGUGUGAAGAAGGUCUUCGGAUUGUAAAGCACUUUAAGUUGGGAGGAAGGGCAUUAACCUAAUACGUUAGUGUUUUGACGUUACCGACAGAAUAAGCACCGGCUAACUCUGUGCCAGCAGCCGCGGUAAUACAGAGGGUGCAAGCGUUAACCGGACUUACUGGGCGUAAAGCGCGCGUAGGUGGUUUGUUAAGUUGGAUGUGAAAUCCCCGGGCUCAACCUGGGAACUGCAUUCAAAACUGACUGACUAGAGUAUGGUAGAGGGUGGUGGAAUUUCCUGUGUAGCGGUGAAAUGCGUAGAUAUAGGAAGGAACACCAGUGGCGAAGGCGACCACCUGGACUAAUACUGACACUGAGGUGCGAAAGCGUGGGGAGCAAACA